CCUUGGGGAUAGGCUUGCGUCUGAUUAGCUAGUUGGUGUGGUAACGGCACACCAAGGCUACGAUCAGUAACUGGUCUGAGAGGAUGAUCAGUCACACUGGAACUGAGACACGGUCCAGACUCCUACCGGGAGGCAGCAGUGAGGAAUAUUGGGCAAUGCUCGAAAGAGUGACCCACGCAACGCCGCGUGGAGGAUGAAGGUAUUCUAUAUCGUAAACUCCUGUGAGAGCAGACGAAAGACAGAUUAUUAAUCUGGAUGACUGUAUGCUCAGAGGAAGCCCCGGCUAACUACGUG
rnacentral:rRNA from 1 species